GACGAACGCUGGCGGCGUGCUUAACACAUGCAAGUCGAACGGAAAGGCCCUGCUUUUGUGGGGUGCUCGAGUGGCGAACGGGUGAGUAACACGUGAGUAACCUGCCCUUGACUUUGGGAUAACUUCAGGAAACUUGGGCUAAUACCGGAUAGGAGCUCCUGCUGCAUGGUGGGGGUUGGACAGUUUCGGCGGUUGGGGAUGGACUCGCGGCUUAUCAGCUUGUUGGUGGGGUAGUGGCUUACCAAGGCUUUGACGGGUAGCCGGCCUGAGAGGGUGACCGGUCACAUUGGGACUGAGAUACGGCCCAGACUCCUACGGGAGGCAGCAGUGGGGAAUAUUGCACAAUGGGCGGAAGCCUGAUGCAGCAACGCCGCGUGCGGGAUGACGGCCUUCGGGUUGUAAACCGCUUUCGCCUGUGACGAAGCGUGAGUGACGGUAAUGGGUAAAGAAGCACCGGCUAACUACGUG
rnacentral:rRNA from 1 species